UAGGGCGGGACACGUGGUAUCCUGUCUGAAUAUGGGGGGACCAUCCUCCAAGGCUAAAUACUCCUGACUGACCGAUAGUGAACCAGUACCGUGAGGGAAAGGCGAAAAGAACCCCGGCGAGGGGAGUGAAAAAGAACCUGAAACCGUGUACGUACAAGCAGUGGGAGCACGCUUAGGCGUGUGACUGCGUACCUUUUGUAUAAUGGGUCAGCGACUUAUAUUCUGUAGCAAGGUUAACCGAAUAGGGGAGCCGAAGGGAAACCGAGUCUUAACUGGGCGUUAAGUUGCAGGGUAUAGACCCGAAACCCGGUGAUCUAGCCAUGGGCAGGUUGAAGGUUGGGUAACACUAACUGGAGGACCGAACCGACUAAUGUUGAAAAAUUAGCGGAUGACUUGUGGCUGGGGGUGAAAGGCCAAUCAAACCGGGAGAUAGCUGGUUCUCCCCGAAAGCUAUUUAGGUAGCGCCUCGUGAAUUCAUCUCCGGGGGUAGAGCACUGUUUCGGCAAGGGGGUCAUCCCGACUUACCAACCCGAUGCAAACUGCGAAUACCGGAGAAUGUUAUCACGGGAGACACACGGCGGGUGCUAACGUCCGUCGUGAAGAGGGAAACAACCCAGACCGCCAGCUAAGGUCCCAAAGUCAUGGUUAAGUGGGAAACGAUGUGGGAAGGCCCAGACAGCCAGGAUGUUGGCUUAGAAGCAGCCAUCAUUUAAAGAAAGCGUAAUAGCUCACUGGUCGAGUCGGCCUGCGCGGAAGAUGUAACGGGGCUAAACCAUGCACCGAAGCUGCGGCAGCGACGCUUAUGCGUUGUUGGGUAGGGGAGCGUUCUGUAAGCCUGUGAAGGUGUACUGUGAGGUAUGCUGGAGGUAUCAGAAGUGCGAAUGCUGACAUAAGUAACGAUAAAGCGGGUGAAAAGCCCGCUCGCCGGAAGACCAAGGGUUCCUGUCCAACGUUAAUCGGGGCAGGGUGAGUCGACCCCUAAGGCGAGGCCGAAAGGCGUAGUCGAUGGGAAACAGGUUAAUAUUCCUGUACUUGGUGUUACUGCGAAGGGGGGACGGAGAAGGCUAUGUUGGCCGGGCGACGGUUGUCCCGGUUUAAGCGUGUAGGCUGGUUUUCCAGGCAAAUCCGGAAAAUCAAGGCUGAGGCGUGAUGACGAGGCACUACGGUGCUGAAGCAACAAAUGCCCUGCUUCCAGGAAAAGCCUCUAAGCAUCAGGUAACAUCAAAUCGUACCCCAAACCGACACAGGUGGUCAGGUAGAGAAUACCAAGGCGCUUGAGAGAACUCGGGUGAAGGAACUAGGCAAAAUGGUGCCGUAACUUCGGGAGAAGGCACGCUGAUAUGUAGGUGAAGUCCCUCGCGGAUGGAGCUGAAAUCAGUCGAAGAUACCAGCUGGCUGCAACUGUUUAUUAAAAACACAGCACUGUGCAAACACGAAAGUGGACGUAUACGGUGUGACGCCUGCCCGGUGC
rnacentral:rRNA from 1 species